GAUUGCCUCAGUAACGGCGAGUGAAGCGGCAACAGCUCAAAUUUGAAAUCUGGCCCCCAGGGUCCGAGUUGUAAUUUGCAGAGGAUGCUUUUGGCGCGGUGCCUUCCGAGUUCCCUGGAACGGGACGCCAUAGAGGGUGAGAGCCCCGUACGGUUGGACACCAAGCCUGUGUAAAGCUCCUUCGACGAGUCGAGUAGUUUGGGAAUGCUGCUCUAAAUGGGAGGUAUAUUUCUUCUAAAGCUAAAUACCGGCCAGAGACCGAUAGCGCACAAGUAGAGUGAUCGAAAGAUGAAAAGCACUUUGAAAAGAGGGUUAAACAGCACGUGAAAUUGUUAAAAGGGAAGCGCUUGUGACCAGACUUGCGCCCGGUGAAUCACCCAGCUCUCGCGGCUGGGGCACUUUGCCGGCUCAGGCCAGCAUCAGCUCGCCGUCGGGGACAAAAGCUUCGAGAACGUAGCUCUCUUCGGGGAGUGUUAUAGCCCGCUGCACAAUACCCUUCGGCGGGCUGAGGUACGCGCUCCGCAAGGAUGCUGGCGUAAUGGUCAUCAGCGACCCGUCUUGAAACACGGGACCAAGGAGUCAACCUUAUGUGCGAGUGUUCGGGGUGUCAAACCCCCUACGCGAAUUGAAAGUGAACGCAGGUGAGAGCCUUCGGCGCAUCAUCGACCGAUCCUGAUGUUCUCGGAAUGGAUUUG
rnacentral:rRNA from 1 species